rnacentral:rRNA from 1 species
UUAAGAUACUAAGAGCAUACGGUGGAUGCCUUGGCGAUAUCUGCCGACGAAGGACGUGACAAGCUGCGAAAAGCUGCGGAGAGAUGCAAAUAAUCGGCGACCCGCAGACAUCCGAAUGGAGAAAUCCGGCUGUGAUGAUGCACAGCCAUCCAUGCCCAAGAGCAUGAGAAGGGAACCGGGCGAACUGAAACAUCUAAGUAACCCGAGGAAAAGAAAUCAAACGAGAUACCCCAAGUAGCGGCGAGCGAACAGGGAAGAAGCCCAAACCGGUGAAGGAAACUUUACCGGGGUUGAGGACCAUCAGACCCGCGAAGAACUUUAGCCGAAACUGUUGGGAAACAGUGCCAAAGACAGUGAAAGCCUGGUAGGCGAAAAAGAGAAACGCGGAGAUGGCACCAGAGUACCGCGGGACACGAGAAAUCCCGUGGGAAACAGGGGGGACCACCCUCCAAGGCAAAACACAGAUAUCGACCGAUAGCGCAUAGUACCAUGAGGGAAAGGUGAAAAGCACCCCGGGAGGGGAAUGAAAGAGAACCUGAAACCGUAUGUUUACAAGCAGUCGGAGACCGCUUAAUAAUAAGGUCGACGGCGUGCCUAUUGAAGAAUGAACCGGCGAGUUACGAAGCCUGGCAAGGUUAAGCAGGAAAUGCGGAGCCGAAGCGAAAGCGAGUCUUAAGAGGGCGCAAGUCAGGAAGCGUAGACCCGAAACCACAGUGAUCUACCCAUGUCCAGGUUGAAACACAGGUAAAAAUGUGUGGAGGACCGAACCUAUAUCCGUUGAAAAGGGUUAGGAUGAGGUGUGGGUAGGGGUGAAAUUCCAAUCGAACGUGGAGAUAGCUGGUUCUCCCCGAAAUAGCUUUAGGGCUAGCCUCAGGGAAAAGAUUGCAGGCGGUAGAGCACUGAUCAGGAGAGGGACCUACCCGGUUACCAAACCCAGUCAAACUCCGAAUGGCUGCAAUCAUACCUGGGAGUCAGACUGCGACUAAUAAGGGCCGUAGUCAAAAGGGAAACAGCCCAGACCAUCAGCUAAGGUCCCCAAUGCCGUGCUAAGUGGCGAAGGAUGUGGCAUUUCAUAAACAACCAGGAUGUUGGCUCAGAAGCAGCCACCAUUUAAAGAGUGCGUAAUAGCUCACUGGUCGAGAGACGCUGCGCCGAAAAUGUCCGGGGCUCAAGCACGGAACCGAAGCUAUGGCAUGAUAGCAAUAUCAUGGGUAGGGGAGCGUUCUUAUAAGGAAGAAGCAUGACCGGAAGGACAUGUGGACGAAUAAGAAGUGAGAAUGCCGGUAUGAGUAUCGAAAAGAAAGGUGAGAAUCCUUUCCACCGAAAGCCCGAGGGUUCCUGAGCAACGAUCGUCGACUCAGGGUAAGUCGGGACCUAAGCCGAGGCGAGAAGCGUAGGCGAUGGACAACAGGUUGAAAUUCCUGUACCGGAUCAAGUCGAUCGAGCGAAGGAGCGACGCAGGAGGGCACAUGAUCGCGCGGCUGGAAGAGCGCGUCCAAGUGCGUAUGUUGCAGCAGAGGAAAACCCCUGCAGCUAAAAGCAGAGACAUGAUGGGGAGUUAAAGGAAACUUUGACGAACUCAUGGAUCCCACACUGCCAAGAAAAACUUCUAGCGAGACAAGAUCCGCCCGUACCGUAAACCGACACAGGUAGGCGGGGAGAGAAUCCUAAGGUGCGCGGGAAAACCCUCGUUAAGGAACUCGGCAAAUUGCAUCCGUAACCUAGGGAGAAGGAUGGCCCCCGGUCAGUGAAGAGCAGAAACGCUCAGAGCUAAAAGGGGCGGCAGAAAAGAGGCCCAAGCAACUGUUUACCAAAAACACAGGUGCCUGCGAAAGCGAAAGCUGAAGUAUAGGUGCUGACGCCUGCCCGGUGCCGGAAGGUUAAGGAGAGGUGUGAGCGAAAGCGAAGCAUCGAACUGAAGCCCCGGUGAACGGCGGCCGUAACUAUAACGGUCCUAAGGUAGCGAAAUUCCUUGUCGGGUAAG